AUCUCUUCAGUUAUCCAACCAUCAGAUGUAGCAUCUGUUCUUAUUAGCUUAAUAUCUGAUACGGUCCCUAUUUGGGACCAUCGAUAUUAAACUGAUUUUUAGAAUGAGGCGAAGAGUUAGGGGCUUGCUCUGCCUUUGCUAUGGGUUGGCCUGGUAUAGCAGUACUUCCAGGAUUCCGCCCACCAUAA